rnacentral:rRNA from 1 species
UACGGGGGGGGCAAGCGUUGUUCGGAAUUACUGGGCGUAAAGGCGCGUAGGCGGCCAGCACAAGUCAGUUGUGAAAUCUCCGAGCUUAACUCGGAACGGUCAACUGAUACUGUGCGGCUAGAGUGCGGAAGGGGCAACUGGAAUUCUUGGUGUAGCGGUGAAAUGCGUAGAUAUCAAGAGGAACACCUGCGGCGAAGGCGGGUUGCUGGGCCGACACUGACGCUGAGGCGCGAAAGCCAGGGGAGCGAACGGG